rnacentral:rRNA from 1 species
GAUGAACGCUGGCGGCGUGCCUAAUACAUGCAAGUCGAACGCUGGAAAUCUAGCUUGCUAGAUUGAAGGAGUGGCGAACGGGUGAGUAAUACAUAAGCAACCUACCCACGAAGACUGGGAUAAUCUCUGGAAACGGGGACUAAUACCGGAUAGGUAAUCGGAAGGCAUCUUCUGAUUAUUAAAGGUUAAAAACACUGGUGGAUGGGCUUAUGGCGCAUUAGUUAGUUGGUGAGGUAACGGCCCACCAAGACGAUGAUGCGUAGCCGGCCUGAGAGGGUGAACGGCCACAUUGAGACUGAGACACGGCCCAGACUCCUACGGGAGGCAGCAGUAGGGAAUUUUCGGGAAUGGGGGAAACCCUGACCGAGCAACGCCGCGUGAGUGAUGACGGCCUUCGAGUUGUAAAGCUCUGUUGUAAGGGAAGAACGGUAGAUAGAGAAUAUCUAAAUGACGGUACCUUACCAGAAAGCCACGGCUAACUACG